GGAUGUGAGGGUGAUCUGGCUGCGACAUCUGUCACCCCAUUAAUCACCAUGGUUGAUUCGGCUGAUCUGGCUGGCUAGGCGGGUGUCCCCUUCCUCACCGCUCCAUGUGUGUCCAUCCCGAAGCUGAGUGCUUGGCCAAAGAGGACGACCUUCCCUGAAUAGAGGAGGACCAGUCUUCGGUCAAGGGUAUAUGAGUAGCUGUGCUCCCCUGCUGGAACCUCCAAACAAGCUCUCAAGAAAUGACAUUAACAGGGCGUGGUGGCACAUACCUUUAAUCCCAGCACUAGGGCAGUAGAGGUGAAGCAGGUGGAUCUUUGAGU
rnacentral:snRNA from 1 species